UGGGGCUGGGGGUGCUCGGCCGGUCUUGCAGGCCCCGUCGGCCACCCGCGCCCUUGGUCCCGCCUCGGAGCCUCGGCCCCAGCUCCGGCCCCGACACGGGAGCUGCUCUUCCCUCGCGGAAGCGGUGCCGCCUGGCCCGCGGCAGCGCAGACGCCCUGCCUUGCCCUCAGGCUGGCCGGGCCGCCUGUGGCCGGAGAAAGCCCCAUUGUGGCCUGAGUGCGCCCCGCAGCCAGUCGGGAUUUCUCUCGCAGAGAGAGGCCUUUGUUCGCCUCACCCCAUCUGACUGCCCCGUGCUCUGUCCCAGCCUCAUUUGCUCCCCAAGCCCCAACCUGGGUUCCUGCUCUGGCAACAAGGAGCAGGUGGCAGCAAGGGGCGUUUUCGCGCCCCUCCCCCUAAUCACCCAGGAAAUCUCUGAGCUUGGCCACCUGCCCUGGGGGAGGAGACGCGAGGCCUGCGCACCCCACUCUGCUUCAUCCCUGGUUGCUCUCCCCACUCCUGUGGCCCCUCCGCCGGCGUUUGUGCUGUGUGACAUCCCUCUCCUCCACCGCUGCCUGGGGUUGGGGGCAGUCGGGGCAGUCAGGCCAGGCCAGGCCACCCCUGGGUGAAGAGGGCAUUGGGGCCAGAAGGGUCUGCACUGACCACCUCCAAGUUUCUGUUCUUAGGCUGUUCCCGCCGCAGCAGAAUAUAAAGUGCUGAAGCCAGAACCCAGACUGGGACGCAAGGCCCAGAACCUGCGCAGGGGCCACCGGCAAUCGGCCACCAUGCCCCUGCCCUGCUGUGCCUCGACUUACCCAUCUGCUGCUGGGGUAAUCCUAACCAUCUCUUACUGAGGGACCCUGAGUGCCUUGUUCAAGUUCAGUGUGGUGAGCCCAUUGGUGGGAGGUGUUUUUCCUCCCCAAAGACUGUAUUUUGAAAAGUACUAAUAAAAUACAGGAGGUGAGUAGCCAAGGCAGAAUUUUAGGUGAAUUCUAUUUCCUCAUUGUUUGACAUUUAAAAUUUAGAGAUGCAAAGGAAUAUAUUUGAAUCCAUGGGGUUGGGGGGAUGAGUACAGAAAGAUCUGAGUGCCUUGCUCUUUCCAAAGCACGUGUUUAAAGGAAGGUUCUGGUUGUGUGCAGGGCAUUCACAGGCAAGUUUGUGUGUUGUGGGAGGCAUACCCCGGGUCCCAGAACCUAGGUGUGGGCUCUGUGUGGCAUUAGGCAAACAUCGGACCCCAUCUGGAGUCCUGGCCUAUUUUUGUGGGAAAGGCAACUUUUAUCUGCUGGGGAACCUUCAGAUAUAGGAGGGAUGGGGGUUAGGACAGUGUCCCUUGCAGUGGGGGACUUAGGGGAGCCACAAGGGACAGGCUGCUUUGGGCCCCUCCUUCCCCUUUCUGGGAGCAGCCUGCUCUGACAGGAUCCAGGCUGGGCCAACCAGGGUCCUUCCCCCUAGGAUUGAUCAGAUCCAACAGGGGAAACCGAGACUUUUCCUCUCUGGUUUAUCAAGGAGCAGCCUGUGGGCCUGGAGUCUCCAGGAGCCACGGUCCCUGCAAGGAGCAGAAGCCUGGCGGAGAGAAAGAACCUCCAUGGGAGGUGGAGGACAAGUGAUGGGGACAGAGUACUGGCAGCAGGGAGUUCCUAUUCAGCAUCCUCAUAGCCAGUUCCUCUUAGCCCUUCCUUACCUCGCCCGUUAAUCCGGUUUGUGCCUAAGCUACUACAUGCUGGGUUUCUGUCACUUUCAAUUAAGAGGCUCCUCACCAA
rnacentral:lncRNA from 1 species